AGGGAAACCGAGUCUUAACCGGGCGUUAAGUUGCAGGGUAUAGACCCGAAACCCGGUGAUCUAGCCAUGGGCAGGUUGAAGGUUGGGUAACACUAACUGGAGGACCGAACCGACUAAUGUUGAAAAAUUAGCGGAUGACCUGUGGCUGGGGGUGAAAGGCCAAUCAAACCGGGAGAUAGCUGGUUCUCCCCGAAAGCUAUUUAGGUAGCGCCUCGUGAAUUCAUCUCCGGGGGUAGAGCACUGUUUCGGCUAGGGGGCCAUCCCGGCUUACCAACCCGAUGCAAACUGCGAAUACCGGAGAAUGUUAUCACGGGAGACACACGGCGGGUGCUAACGUCCGUCGUGAAGAGGGAAACAACCCAGACCGCCAGCUAAGGUCCCAAAGUCAUGGUUAAGUGGGAAACGAUGUGGGAAGGCCCAGACAGCCAGGAUGUUGGCUUAGAAGCAGCCAUCAUUUAAAGAAAGCGUAAUAGCUCACUGGUCGAGUCGGCCUGCGCGGAAGAUGUAACGGGGCUAAACCAUGCACCGAAGCUGCGGCAGCGACGCUGAUGCGUUGUUGGGUAGGGGAGCGUUCUGUAAGCCUGUGAAGGUGGCCUGUGAGGGUUGCUGGAGGUAUCAGAAGUGCGAAUGCUGACAUAAGUAACGAUAAAGCGGGUGAAAAGCCCGCUCGCCGGAAGACCAAGGGUUCCUGUCCAACGUUAAUCGGGGCAGGGUGAGUCGACCCCUAAGGCGAGGCCGAAAGGCGUAGUCGAUGGGAAACGGGUUAAUAUUCCCGUACUUGGUGUUACUGCGAAGGGGGGACGGAGAAGGCUAUGUUGGCCGGGCGACGGUUGUCCCGGUUUAAGCGUGUAGGUGUGUGUUCCAGGUAAAUCCGGUUCACUUUAACACUGAGGCGUGAUGACGAGGCACUACGGUGCUGAAGCAACAAAUGCCCUGCUUCCAGGAAAAGCCUCUAAGCAUCAGGUAACAUCAAAUCGUACCCCAAACCGACACAGGUGGUCAGGUAGAGAAUACCAAGGCGCUUGAGAGAACUCGGGUGAAGGAACUAGGCAAAAUGGUGCCGUAACUUCGGGAGAAGGCACGCUGACAC
rnacentral:rRNA from 1 species